rnacentral:misc_RNA from 1 species
UACUCUCACACUCUAAUUUUGGAGAAGUGGACUUGGGUGUUGCUGCUUUGCGGUGGCUCAUCUUAAAUAUGCUAGUGCAACUCAUGGUUGGAUAUAGUACAGCGUGAUAAGUAUCUUUGCUGGCGCCUCAUGAAGAGGGUAUCUGAUUCGGAGCUCUGUGCUUCUAACAGUCCUGUCUGGGGCAAUCUCUGACA